UACGUAGGGCGCAAGCGUUGUCCGGAAUUAUUGGGCGUAAAGAGCUCGUAGGCGGCUUGUUGCGUCGGUUGUGAAAGCCCGGGGCUUAACCCCGGGUCUGCAGUCGAUACGGGCAGGCUAGAGUGUGGUAGGGGAGAUCGGAAUUCCUGGUGUAGCGGUGAAAUGCGCAGAUAUCAGGAGGAACACCGGUGGCGAAGGCGGUUCUCUGGGCAUUACCUGACGCUGAGGAGCGAAAGUGUGGGGAGCGAACAGG
rnacentral:rRNA from 1 species